GCGAGGAGGUGGUGAUGAGGGGAGUGCAGGGUAGCUGGUUAUUGCUCACUGAAGCAGGUACGUGUUUUUCCCUCCAGUUUCUGUGUCUUUCAGAUCACCACUGACAAGGUGUUGAUAUGUGGAAGUAGUUACCUCAGGUCAACUGUUCCUGAAGUCAGGCUGGGAGCAGUCAUUGACAUGGAAAGCUCUUCGCUCCUUUGCCAGCUCCUCUGGUCCACAGAUGUCUCCGGAUUCAGCCCCACCCUUUCUUGGUUGUAGCAGUGGGAUUUGCAAAUGAUCAGCAAAACUCCAGAGUUAUACCCGACCUUAAGGUGGACUUCAACUAAAGCAGGUAUAACUAGCAGAAAAUCUACCUAAUGGAUGCUUUUUCAGAGAGGCAUUUCAUGUAGUGGUGUUCGAGGGUAUAUUCACCAGUGGCAACAAUCCAUUUGCUUCUAAACACAAGUUCAGCACCCAGAGCACCUAUGCGAGCAUGUGCAUCCACCCUUAAAAAUUAGCAGAGGAUACUAUAGAGGUUUUAAUGGCCACAAAUGUCUCUUCUUAUUUUCCUCCCUUAGGAAGACAAUAUCAGAGUGCUGGAAUCGAUUGAUUAAAAUUGUACUGGCAGAAGAUAAGCAUUGCUCAAAAUAUAGAAAUAUAUUUUAGACUGCAAAAUAAAGAGAAGCAUACACACACACACACACACACACACACAUACACACGCAUGCACGCACUCACGCACACGGAAACCAAAUCCGCAUAUUUCUUGGCUCAAGGUAGCAGACUGACUGGUUACCCAAAAUGAGCUUACUGCAAAAUCGCUCUGUUCUCACCACAGGCACCAUUUACCAACCGGGUGCAGUAGACAUGGUGUUGGCUCCUGAACUUCUCUCCUCCAAUUAAGCUGCACAACCUGUUACCAUUUUGCCAAUGGACUCUAUUUACUUGGGUUCUGCAAAACUUGCCAAGUGCUCACUCUGUGGAAUUCCCAGCAAAGAGAAAGAAACAAUUGGGGCAACUGUUUGGGAACAUCUUUUCCUUUUACUUGCCCUAGCAGAGGGGAAUGCAGCAACAUGGAGCAGAUGUGUUGAGACCAAAUGCACUCAUCCUCAUGAUUACAGUUGGUUGUACCUGUGGCUAGGCAAACUAAUUCCACUACAAAUGUUCAAGAGAGGGUAGUACUGCCAUACAAUGUGUGGUCCUGGAGGCUUUAUUCUCAUGUAACAGGGCGUCUCCAUUUCACAAGACCUGGCAAGCUGAGAAGAAAACGGAAGCAGCCCAGCCACGCGCCAUGGGAACUGUGAGCUCUCUAUGGACUGCUUGAGAGAGAGAGAGUGCCCUCGUCCUCCUUGUUGUUGACAUAGAUUUUGCAGAAUUUCUUAUUUGGAGUUUGAAAAUAAUGAUUCUUCUUUCUACUUAAUGGGCUCUGCCACUCAGCACCCUAUUGUUUGCUGCUCUUUGCAAAUGCCUGAGGAUGUCAUUAUGGCUACAUGUAUCAAUAUUAAACCUUUACAAACAGUU